AAAGAGCCUCACAUCGAAGGGCCAGCAACCCACGAUGGCCCCGAGUCAUGCGCCACCACCUGUGAGGGUGAGGGUGAAGCGUUGACAGGGGUACGAGCGGGCUGGGUAUUGAGCCGCGAAAUCAGCCAGUCCAGGGCGCCGACGCGGUUAAGUGACGCGGAAGGCAACACGGACAGGGACGCUACUGCGAGUCCCUGGCUCGGCCCUGCGCGGUCGGAGACCC
rfam:Stigmatella aurantiaca DW4/3-1, complete genome.